GGGGAAUAUUGCACAAUGGGCGAAAGCCUGAUGCAGCAACGCCGCGUGAGUGAUGAAGGUCUUCGGAUUGUAAAGCUCUGUCUUUUGGGACGAUAAUGACGGUACCAAAGGAGGAAGCCACGGCUAACUACGUGCCAGCAGCCGCGGUAAUACGUAGGUGGCGAGCGUUGUCCGGAUUUACUGGGCGUAAAGGGUGCGUAGGCGGAUGUUUAAAGUGAGAUGUGAGAUACCCGGGCUUAAC
rnacentral:rRNA from 1 species